rnacentral:rRNA from 1 species
AUUGAACGCUGGCGGCAGGCCUAACACAUGCAAGUCGAACGAGUGGCGGACGGGUGAGUAAUGUCUGGGAAACUGCCCGUUGGAGGGGGAUAACUACUGGAAACGGUAGCUAAUACCGCAUACCAUCGGAUGUGCCCAGUUGGGAUUAGCUAGUAGGUGGGGUCACGGCUCACCUAGGCGACGAUCCCUAACUGGUCUGAGAGGAUGACCAGCCACACUGGAACUGAGACACGGUCCAGACUCCUACGUGAGGCAGCAGUGGGGAAUAUUGGACAAUGGGCGCAAGCCGGAUGCAGCCAUGUCGCGUGUAUGAAGAAGGCCGUCGGGUUGUAAAGUACUUUCAGCGAGGAGGCGUUACUCGCAGAAGAAGCACCGGCUAACUCCGUGCCAGCAGCCGCGGUAAUAC